CGUGCUCGACGGGGUGCGCGCGUCCCGGAGCUGUCCUUCCCCCCCCCGGCCCCGUGUGGCCGCGCGGUGACGGCUCGGGGCUCGGGCUCGUCCCGAGGUCGGGGCGCGGUGCGGAGCUGCUCCCGGCGGUGGCAUCGCACCGCAUCGCGCGACCCUCGGGGCUGAGCGCCGCUGCCGUCUUCUCCCGACGUCUCUGUGCGAUGUGGCAGCGCCCAUUGUGUCGCUUUCUUCAGUCCGGGAAGCGUUUGGAAGUUGGAAAUUUGCAGGAGCUGCGCUUAGAGCAUGCACUCAGCUGCUGAACCGUGCUGCCUGCGCCCAAAGGAGGAGAAACCGAGCUAGAGAGUGCCCAAACCAGACCAGCGAGAAGGGGGAGAAGCUCUGAUGUGAAGGUGUAGGGCUGCUGGCAGCUGUGUAUUUGGACCUGGUGCUCGGUAUCUUGAGGUUGAGUCCGUGUGUGAAUGACCCGAAGCCGUUCCCUAAGGGCAUAGCCACAAUCGUGUGGCUGCUGGGCUCCACAAACCUACGGAGCUGGGGAAUCAGCCUUCAGGGCUGCAGCUUGCAGGCGGUGCAUGGAGGGCUGGGGUGUGGGGCGAUGAGACCAUUCUGCAGCUGUUUGUGCUUUAAUUCUUCCAUGAGAAGCUGAAGCUGCUCUGUCCGCAGCCUGCUCCGGGCGGUGUGUUUCUCCAGCAGCGCGCUGAAGUUGUGUGGCUGUGAGCUCCCGGCUCUGUCCUUCAAUCUGUGCUCCAUGCAAGGGCUCGUUUGCUGCCUGGCAGCAAUCCUGGCCAUCCUGAGACCCGAGGGAAAGUCUGCAGGAAUUCUUGCUUUCGCUGCUGUUUUGUUCUAAUGAUAGAAAGAGAAAGGCCGAUGGGGAACCAGGUGUCAGGAGUUCUCAUGUCUGCUGAAUGACUUCAUCUCUAAUUCAGCCCACUGCGCCGGGUAAUUCACAUAAUAACUCUUAGUUUGUUCUCUAAUACAGUGUACGUGAUGCCUUUUAGGCUCUAUUAA